AUUGAACGCUGGCGGCAUGCCUUACACAUGCAAGUCGAACGAGUGGCGCACGGGUGAGAAAUACAUCGGAACGUGUCCUAUCGUAGGGGAUAACUCAUCGAGAGAUCAGAGCAUACCGCAUACGAUUGGAGCGGUCGACGCCCGAUUAGCUAGUUGGUGUGGUAAAGGCGCACCAAGGCGACGAGCGGUAGCUGGUCUGAGAGGUCGACCAGCAACACUGGGACUGAGACACGGCCCAGACUCCUACGGGAGGCAGCAGUGGGGAAUUUUGGACAAUGGGGGCAACCCUGAUCCAGCCAUGCCGCGUGCAGGAUGAAGGUCUUCGGAUUGUAAACUGCUUUUGUCGGGGAAGCGGUACCUGAAGAAUAAGCACCGGCUAACUACGUGCCAGCAGCCGCGGUAAUAC
rnacentral:rRNA from 1 species